CCCGUCGCCGUAUAAAAGCAUUUAAACAGGAUAACGCCGACCUUCGCCUCUGCAUCUGGCGUCAGACGACCAGCUUGUAUCGUCACUAUUAACCUCUGGCGAAAUGCUGAUGGCAUGUGAUGCUGUGCGUGCAACUCUAUGCAAAGAUGAGUUUCACGUUCUCAAAGACAAUUCCAAAUGGCAACUGUACUUUUUAGAAUGACUCACCAAGCCUUGACAAAGAGUAUGACUCAAAGAUUCAGAGUCAAGCCACACGACAUGAUGGUUAUAACACUAAGGUAGGAGAGAAGGUCAAGCUGGAACUCAACAUGCGGCAAUGGCAAGAAUCAGAGCUUUAAACACAUUUGAAAACACUUCCUCCACGUAGCCCUAUGCGGUCUAAGUGCCCCGCAGACAAUCGAUUGUGUCCAUUCUCUCCUUCCACAUCUAUAAAGCCUGGCUGCACAUACCCAACACCAGUGCCUAGAUCCAGAUUUUAUGAGGAAACAGGAUCAAAUGUUUCUCACACUAAUGUCUCAAGGACUAGCCAGAAGACCAACAACCAGUUGAAGAAAGCACUAGAUUUCAAGAGAAGGAAGCCUGGCAUGGAUAUCUGAGAGCAGUGGCACGAGCACCUCUAAAGAAGAGAUUGUUCUAUGUUUCGGGAGGAGCUCUUGCAAUUCAAGCAACUUGGACCUAAGCGAGCAGCAGAGAUACUAGAGUUGCAACAAAACUGUGAGGAACCAUUUCAAAAUGUAUGUUUCUUUCUUAGUUGUCUCUCCAAUGCAUGACCUUUACAACUUGAUGAAAUCCAAAAGCAAAAUCCACAGUAUUAGUGUUCCGUUAUUAAUCAUUUCAUAAAGCAAUUCUUUGAUUUUCAAGAACGUGUUAGAAACGGUCAAUUGAAUUUUGCUUGAACCUGUUUUUGCUAACUUCACCUAAUCUACUACAUCGUUACAUUGCA